rnacentral:rRNA from 1 species
CCCUUAGAUGUUCUGGGCUGCACGCGCGCUACACUGAAGCGUUCAACGAGUAUUCACCUUGCCCGGGAGGGUUGGGUAAUCUUUUGAAAACGCUUCGUGAUGGGGAUAGAUUAUUGCAAUUAUUAAUCUUCAACGAGGAAUUCCUAGUAAGCGCGAGUCAUCAGCUCGUGCUGAUUACGUCCCUGCCCUUUGUACACACCGCCCGUCGCUCCUACCGAUUGAAUGUUCCGGUGAGCUCUUCGGACUGCGCGGUCUGCAGUUUCUGCGUUCCGUGCGGAAAGUUGCGCAAACCUUAACAUUUAGAGGAAGGAGAAGUCGUAACA